GCACAGUACUGCACNNUGGNCGAUANUGCCUGCCAUUAGGCUCAUANGGUGGUUAUUUUACAAGCGAGUUUNGAUGUCUMUANGUCRGCAGAGGCGUUAGGCUCUGUCUGCAUUAUAGCUGUCCUCUAUGAUNGGCACUGGUAAGUCUGUGGUUGUGAAGUAGGUAGUCCWSCUGRCCCGUCUYGAAACACGGACCAAGGAGUCUAACAUGUGCGCGAGUCAGWKGAUUCUCAAACCMAUAAAUGGCGCAGUGAAGGUAAAGAUCUGUUGUGACAGAUUAAGGUGGGAAGCUGGGUGAAGCGCCCAGCCGCACUACCGGCCCGUUCUACAUGUAUCUCAUGGGGGCGGAGCAAGAGCGUACACGUUGGGACCCGAAAGAUGGUGAACUAUGCUUGCGCAGGUCGAAGCCAGAGGAAACUCUGGUGGAGGACCGCAGCGAUUCUGACGUGCAAAUCGAUCGUCAAACGUGAGUAUAGGGGCGAAAGACUAAUCGAACCAUCUAGUAGCUGGUUCCCUUCGAAGUUUCCCUCAGGAUAGCUGGCACUCGGGAAACGAAACAGUUUUAUCCGGUAAAGCGAAUGAUUAGAGGUAUUGGGACGAAGUUGCUCUCAACCUAUUCUCAAACUUUAAAUGGGUAAGAUGCUCGACUCGCUCAAUNGGAGCCGGGCUUUGCUGAA
rnacentral:rRNA from 1 species